rnacentral:sRNA from 1 species
ACUUAGCCCCGAUGGAAGUGGCAUCCUUGCUGGGCGGGGUUCGCCCAGCAAGAUAUAACGUACAGCGGGACGACUC